rnacentral:misc_RNA from 1 species
UGAUUACGUCCCUGCCCUUUGUACACACCGCCCGUCGCUACUACCGAUUGGAUGACUUAGUGAGGUCUUAGGACCGAGACGAAGGUGCCUUAACGGGUGCCUACGUUUUGGAAAUUUGAUCGAACUAAGUUAUCUAGAGGAAGUAAAAGUCGUAACAAGGUUUCCGUAGGUGAACCUGCGGAAGGAUCAUUAACGAGCUACGAGAAAGUCGUAUCGUUUUCUCGGUAAAAUCUUGGGUCCGUGUGAACCGAUCGUAUAUACGCGGUAAGGCGCUCUAGCGCGAAGCCCGUCAUAUCGGUUCCGCGCUCGAAUCGUUUUAUAGCAUCGGACCCGAGAAAAAAAGGAAAUAGCGAGAUAUAUAUAUAUAAUUAGCGUUAACCGGGUAACGCGCGAGUGUCGAACGGUCUCUGACACUGACACUCGCUCGUCGGAUUAGUUAAUAAUCCCGGUUCGUAUAUCGAAACGCUACGUAAAGGUAUGUAUAUAUAUGUUCUAGCUAUAUCCGUUCAGACGUCCCGGGGAAUCCGUUCCUAGCGAUCGAUAUAUAACUAGGAAUAUAGAUUCCCUAUUUCGGGUACCUAUCGAAUAUUAACGCUGCGGGUACCGUCUGACCGCUACGAACGACGCGUUAAGAUUCGGUAUCCCUAUUCGACCGAUCGAGUUUCCUUGAUCGUCUCCGGCGCUCGACCCGAACGAACGGGUCUAUUUCGGGUUCGAGAACGUAAAGAGUCGCGAGCGAUCGAUCGUCUCAGGAAACUAUGUCGAAUAAGGGGUAGGUUUAAAGAGUCGUUGGUUCCUAUCUGUAGGCGAGGAGUCGUAAUGUUUCUCGUCUAUCAGGAACGGCUGGUUUCCAACGACCGAUUCGUUAGUACACACGGCGACGAAUGUUAGUACCGGUGAUAUAAUUAGUGGUGUAUAUCGUAUUCGAUAAUAUAUACACGAAAACACUAUAUAACACUGGGAACAGACUCGGAGCUCGAAAUAUAUGUGUGUAUAGUCGUAAGAAACGGCUCGGGACGAAAUAAUAUCGUCCGGGCGACCGCCCGAAUAUAUAUCUUGUAUAAUGUAUAAAUAUAAAUUCGUUCGAUUUAGAGCGAAGAAAAACCGAAUCCUAAGCGAUUCCAUUCUAAGCGGUGGAUCACUAGGCUCGCGGGUCGAUGAAGAACGGGGCCAGCCCCGAGAAUAAGUGCGAAUUGCAGACACAAAGAGCAUCGACUAUUCGAACGCACAUUGCGGUGCGGGCCAGCUCGGUACCACGCCUAUCUGAGGGUCGAGCGAGCGAUCAAAAGCAUCGUUUUUCUAAAUAGACGUUAGUAACGGAUAGAACGAAAGUCGAUCUAAACCGUGGUAGAAAUAACCGUUCAUUUAUUAUCGUUAUUCCGAGUCGUAACGUUCGGACGUAAAGGUUAUACGGUAAUAAACGAAGAAAGCAAACGGUCGUAAAGGAUACUACUACCGAUCGAUAUAGCGGUUUAGUUCGAAUUCGUGAACUCGUCUAAGAAAAAAAUUGGACUCGAGACUGUACCUCCAGUCGUCCCGUCCAAAGGUCUUUUCCAAUAUAUUACGUGGCAGUUCGAAUCGAUAUAUAUAACUGCGCUAAUAUAGACGGAUAUAUAAGACCAGACGAAAAGUAAAGGGUAACUUAUGUAUAUAUAUCGAAAAGUUAUAUAUAUAUAUAUACGAUCGAUGUAAGUCGCCCAUUGCUUUUUCUGGAAUUAGCUCGAGUAACGCGCGAACGCGUUAAGUAUAUGAUAGACCGUCCCGACUCGAACGAACGAAUAUAAAUCGCCUUCGCCGUUUUGAACGACUUAUAUAACGGCCGGAAUAAAGAAGGUGGUUCGAGUCGGAUUCGAACGCAAGGCGGUUCUGUAUAUACGCGUGCGAAAGAGCUAUAUAAAUAGUCUCGAAUAUCGACCUCAGAUUAGACGAGAUUACCCGCCGAAUUUAAGCAUAUAACUAGGCGGAGGAAAAGAAAUUAACAAAGAUUUCCUUAGUAACGGCGAGUGA